CAAGGACCGGGGAGAACGCUCCGCUAAAGUUAACUGUAGUCUCUCCGGGGG
rnacentral:rRNA from 1 species